rnacentral:rRNA from 1 species
AGGGAAUCUUCCGCAAUGGACGAAAGUCUGACGGAGCGACGCCGCGUGAGCGAAGAAGGUCUUCGGAUCGUAAAGCUCUGUUGUUAGGGAAGAAGAAGUACCGUUCGAAUAGGGCGGUACGGUGACGGUACCUAACGAGAAAGCCCCGGCUAACUACGUGCCAGCAGCCGCGGUAAUACGUAGGGGGCGAGCGUUGUCCGGAAUUAUUGGGCGUAAAGCGCGCGCAGGCGGUCCCUUAAGUCUGAUGUGAAAGCCCACGGCUCAACCGUGGAGGGCCAUUGGAAACUGGGGGACUUGAGUGCAGAAGAGGAGAGCGGAAUUCCACGUGUAGCGGUGAAAUGCGUAGAGAUGUGGAGGAACACCAGUGGCGAAGGCGGCUCUCUGGUCUGUAACUGACGCUGAGGCGCGAAAGCGUGGGGAGCAAAC